rnacentral:lncRNA from 1 species
GAAGGAAAUGCCACCACCAUCUGCCUCUGUUUGUGAUGACCUGGGAAUAAAUAAAAAUUAACCUUGGCCCUUGAAUGAAUCACGGAGCUUAUCAACACUUCCUUCGUGUCUUUAAUGACUAUUGUGAAACAAGUUGACAGUGAAUGUUGGAGAGAUAGGGCAGAAGGGCUAUUGUUCUAAAUGGCUCUUUACCAGGCACGGCACUUUGCACCUUCUCAUAUUUUGUGCCAUGAUGCACUUUGCACCCUGUAUUAGUAACAGUGAAAAAUAAGGAGACAGCAUCUUCUGAAGCCAGCAGGAGCUCAAUGAACCACCGGAAAAGAAAGAAGAAAGGAAAAAUAAAAGGAAGGAAGGCAGGAAUAAAAGAGGGGAAGGAGAAAAUGCUGGAGAGAAGAAGGGAAUGACAAUCCCAGUCUCCAGAUGGUCAGUGUGACUGAUGGCUGAGUUUCAGGAACAUUGUUUGCAACAAAGAAGGAGACAUCCCUUGCAUCCUGACAUAUGGUACCUUCUAUUUAUAACAAGAUUAACAAUUCAUUCACACCUUGAUUGAAUACUGCUUUAUUGAGAUGUCACAACAGAUUCUCACAGCCUGCAAAGGGAAAGACUUACAAAUGAUAAUAUUAUGACAAGCAAGACACCUAAAAGUAAAUGAAUCAUAAUUGAUGAUAAUUAGAAAGAGCUCAGCACAAACACAGAAUCAUAGCAGUGAUGGUGAGCAGGAUUCGCCUCUUGCAGAAGGACUGCCACAGAGCAAUUCUGCUGAAUUUUCAUUGAGAAGUUGAAAUCCACUCACACCUAGGAAGAAAUCAUUAGAGAUGCAGCUGCUUACAUGCAAGAGCAUGUGCACGAAGCCUGGAUACACAGAUGCAUGUGUGCGAGAGAAGGUGUACGGGAUUAGAGAGCUCUGAAUGGCCUCAUAAUAGAAUCCCAGGGGAGGGCCGGAGGUCCCAGGCCAGCGAUGCUCACACGCCCAUCUCCUCCUGUCUGUGCCGCACAAAGCCUGACAAGGCCUCACUCAUGUUUCAAAGCGCUUUCUCUUUUCAGAGCUAUUUGUUAUUGUCUCUGCCAUCACAAGUUUAAAAAAGGAAAGUUAAUUAAAUAUGGAACAAGACUGAGCAACAUCUUUUAAACCAUCAUGUCAUUAGAACUGGAAUCCUUAGAGAGCUGCUUAAAAGGGGUUUGAGAACAAUGACUGUUCAAUCAGAUAUUUAUGGGCAUAGUUAUGUAAACACACUCUUUAUUGUCUAUGUAUAUUUAAUAUAAUUAUCAGUUUUGUAGUUGGACUCUCCAGAGACCCAACAAAUCACAGUGUUGCUUUGAAAAUGUCAGCAGAAAAGACAAUUAUGUUGCUAGCAAAUAUUCAUAAAUUAUAUUAAAAAGUCCUGUGGAAAUGUCCCCAUGUUGCAGAAUCCUUUGCAGGAACUAAAUGAUUCUUGUAUUUCUUUGAU